UAUUAUAAAGAAGCUGAAGCUUCUUUCUUCCUCUCCUUCAGCCCGAGCACCCACACACACGCACGCAUGGUGCUAGUGAGAGAAACCUUCAUUCCUCUCUCUAGAUUUCUCUCUCAUUUCUCUAUAUCUCUCGCUCAAAUUCGCGGGGUUGGUGGAGAAUAUGCUUGCGAACGCGUUGGAGGCGACGGAUUGAGCUUUCGUGCGCCCGUUGGAGCGGUGUGUUGUCGUCGCGGCGUUCACAUUGAGGUAAGCUUUUAGGAUUUGGCUUAAUCCUUAGCUUUAAGUAUUCUAAUAGCCUCUAAUGAGCUUUGUUAGCAUGUUGAUCCAUUUAAUUUUGGAUUAUUUUGAGGUUAAUAGCAUAUUAGGGCUCCGAAUGGGGUUUUGUAAAAUGUAAGGGUUUGAUCUAAAUUGACCCUAUAUAAACCUAAUUGCUAGGUAAACGAACGCGUUGGCGAAGACGGUUCGGCAAUCCGACAAGCCGUUGCGAAGUUAUUAAAGAAACGGACGUUUAGGCUUCGGGUCCGCCGGGAGGGCCGAGGCGAUAUCGUAAAUUCAUGAAAAUGGAUUUGAAGCUUCGUGGCACAUAACCGAAGACCUUUAAUUUUCGGAUCGUGAAUUGGAGGCCGUUCGGGUGGUCGCGUGAGAGAUCGGGCCAAACCGGGUUACGGGUGCCGCGGGAGGCCGAUUGCAAGUGUCGACAAGCAAUCGGAAUGCGAAAUGAGGUGGGUUGUGCUCACCGAAGCGAUUAGGUCGCUUUCCAUGCUAAAGUGUAGUAUGUUUACUAUUGACGCAUGAUAAAGUAUGCUAUUUAAGAAUGCAUGAUAAAGAUUAAAGUAUGCUAUUUGAGAAUGCAUGAUAAAGUAUGCUAAUUAAGAAUGCAUGAUAAAAAUAGAUGCCAAAUGAAUGCAUGAGUUGAUGUUAAUUUAUAUGUGCAUAUUAUAGAAAUGCUAAAUAGAUGUCAAAUGAAAGUAUGAGAUUGUACUAACCGAGAAUGCAUGUAGUAAAUGUUAACGAAUGCAUAAAAUGCUAAGUGAUGACUACCAAUGGAUGACAAAAUAUAUGCAUGUUGAACAUAGAUCGAGUGGCAUUCGAAAUGGUAAAGUGGACACUAGAGUUAGUGUGGGACAUCAAAGAAUAAAUGUGAUGUAAAGAACAAUGAUAAUGGCUAAAGAUAAUGUAAAACAAUGUGAUGAUAAUAAUGUAAUGUUGCAUGAUGUGAGUACACGUGCUUAUUAGAAUGAUUAAGAAUCUGAAUAAUCUAUGUGUAUGCAUGAGAUGUAAUGUGAGAACCUAAUGAUAAUGGUUUGAGACAAGGCAAAGCAAUGUGAUGUAAAGAAUAAUGAUAAUGGCUAAAGACAAUGUAAUGUAAUGUGGCAUAAAGGACGUGUAAAGUUAAAGAAUGUGAAAGCUAAAGAUAGCUUAAAGUAAAGGAAUGUGAAAAACGUGAUUGCUAGAGUUAGCAAAAGUAAAAGAGAUGUAAAGAACAAUGAUUGCUAGAGUGGCAACAUAAAGUGAUGUAAAGAACACUAGAGUUAGUGUAAAGCCAUGAUUCAACUACAAAUCCUUUGAGUUAAGGAUAUGAUCAUACUUGCUAUGAGUUCCGUGCUCGAGGGCGGUCGCUCCCCCUCGGGCGAUGCGCUCCGGAGUUUGGCAUCCGGGUUGGAGUAGACCCGUAAGGACGGUCCUAGCUGGUGAGUUCCUGCGAUGAUGGACUUAAUGUGAAGCAAGUUAAUGUGGCGAAACCCCCGGGUUAGCCGUGAGAUUAAAGAACAAAGAACAAAAAGGGAUCAUGGAUUGGAAAGUGGAUCUUGUAUUCAUUAUGAAUUGACUCAAGACCGAGUCGAGUGGCAUAGUUGGCUAGGGUAAAGGUAACCCUGUGAAAGAAUGACAAUUGAGAAAG
rnacentral:lncRNA from 1 species